GCAUUUUGGCACAUGGAUUAACUACAUCUGCACAGUCAUACAAUCUGCACCUACCGGAGCCCCCAUUGAGCCUGAACCAGGAGAUGGAGAUGCACUCGAAGAACACCAGAAAAAGAAGACACAUCCCACUGGCAGAGUAAUAAUCAAAGAGCUUGAAGACAU